UAAGCCUGUGAAGGUGGCCUGUGAGGGUUGCUGGAGGUAUCAGAAGUGCGAAUGCUGACAUAAGUAACGAUAAAGCGGGUGAAAAGCCCGCUCGCCGGAAGACCAAGGGUUCCUGUCCAACGUUAAUCGGGGCAGGGUGAGUCGACCCCUAAGGCGAGGCCGAAAGGCGUAGUCGAUGGGAAACGGGUUAAUAUUCCCGUACUUGGUGUUACUGCGAAGGGGGGACGGAGAAGGCUAUGUUGGCCGGGCGACGGUUGUCCCGGUUUAAGCGUGUAGGUGUGUGUUCCAGGUAAAUCCGGUUCACUUUAACACUGAGGCGUGACGACGAGGCACUACGGUGCUGAAGCAACAAAUGCCCUGCUUCCAGGAAAAGCCUCUAAGCAUCAGGUAACAUCAAAUCGUACCCCAAACCGACACAGGUGGUCAGGUAGAGAAUACCAAGGCGCUUGAGAGAACUCGGGUGAAGGAACUAGGCAAAAUGGUGCCGUAACUUCGGGAGAAGGCACGCUGACACGUAGGUGAAGUGAUUUACUCA
rnacentral:rRNA from 2 species